CCCUUAGAUGUUCUGGGCCGCACGCGUGUUACACUGACAUGUUCAUCGAGCUCCUUACCUUCGCCGGCAGGUUCGGGUAAUCUUUUCAAAGCAUGUCGUGAUGGGGAUAGAUUAUUGUAAUUCUUAAUCUUCAACGAGGAAUUUCUAGUAAACGCGAGUCAUCAACUCGCAUUGAUUACGUCCCUGUCCUUUGUACACACCGCCCGUCGCUACUACCGAUUGAAUCGUUUAGUGAGCUUGGAGGACUGAUCUUCACCGGAGGCCUUGCCAAAGGGAUUGAAUGGGAGUCCAAACAAACUUGACGAUUUAGAGGAAGUAAAAGUCGUAACA
rnacentral:rRNA from 1 species